AUGGUAUUGGAAAAAUGUAACAGCAACGGUCUUCUACUGCUGCAAACAUGCUCUGAAUUUGACCUACUCAUCACCAACACGAUAUUCCAACUACCAAAGCGUAAGAAGACUUCAUGGAUGCAUCCUCGUUCACACCACUGGCACUUGAUUGACUACGUCAUCGUGAGGAGGAGUGACCGGCACGAUGUCAGGGUGACUAAGGCUAUGUGUGGUGCUGAAUGUUGGACUGACCAUCGUCUCAUUAUUUCCAAACUUAACAUUCGGAUUAAGCCUAGCAGACGCCCACAAGGACAAAGAUGUGUCAAGCGUCUUAACAUCACUCGCCUACAACAGGAACACACCAGGCUGGCAUUUGUUGAGGCUUUAGACCAUCACCUGGAGUCUCUAAGCUUCGAGCAUACAGACGUUGAGGCAGACUGGACUGCUCUCAAGACCGUGCUGCAUUCUACAGCCCUUGAAUCACUUGGUGUUCCAUUACGUACACAUCAAGAUUGGUUUGAUGAGAACGAUGCAGAAAUCCGAGUACUCCUUGACGAAAAACAUCGCCUGCAUAAAGCAUAUCUGAAUGACAGCAGCUCAAGUUUAAAGAAAGUUGCCUUUCUCAACAUUCGAAGGAUUGUUCAGCAGAGACUCAGAGUCAUGCAAGAUGCCUGGCUGUGCGCAAAAGCUGUGGAGAUUCAAUCCUACGCUGACAGUAACAACACCAAGUGCCUCUAUAAUGCACUCAAGCAGGUCUAUGGUCCGCAACACUCAGGAACUUCAGCUCUUCUGAACUUAGAUGGAACAACACUCCUUACGGAGAAGGACAAAAUACUUGAAAGGUGGGUCAAACACUACAGCGCGGUCCUCAAUCGGCCAUCAUGCAUAAAUGAGGAGGCAAUUGCGAGAUUGCCUCAAGUUGAAAUAAACCAGUCCUUGGCUUUUCUACCAUCCAUUGAGGAAAUCAGCAAAGCCAUAACACUUCUCUCAUCAGGCAAAGCUCCAGGGUCCGAUGCCAUUCCAGCAGAAAUUUACAAGGCUGGAGGGCCUCGCUUAGUCGAGAAACUGACCGACGUCUUCCAGGCUAUGUGGAAAUUAGAAGCCGUUCCCAAGGAGUUUAAGGAUACUAUUAUAAUCAAUCUAUAUAAAAGGAAAGGCAAACGGCAGGACUGCGACAACCAUAGAGGCAUCUCCAUACUAUCAGUCGCUGGCAAAAUCUUGGCAAGAAUUCUUCUGAACCGCCUAAUUGUCCAUCUAGACCAGGGUCUGCUACCUGAGAGUCAGUGUGGUUUCAGAAAAGACCGCGGAACCACUGACAUGGUAUUUACUGCUCGGCAGUUACAGGAGAAAUGCCAAGAACAAAAUGUUGAUCUAUAUAUGGCUUUCGUUGAUCUAACAAAAGCAUUCGACACAGUCAGCCGGGAGGGCCUAUGGAAAAAUCAUGGCUAA
ensembl:lncRNA